AUGCGGGCCGCCAGUGCGCCGCGCUACUCCGUCGGCGCCGGCGCCGGGGCCGGGGCGGUCUUCCUCGGCGACGGCGACGUCGACCCCGAGGCCCUCACCGAGGAGGACAGCCUCGUCGGCGGCGGCGACUCCAACUCCGUGGAUUGCUUGCAUGGAUCAUACAGCAGCUCUUUAAGCCUCCAUGGUGUCAGAGUUGACGACGAACACUCGGCUCUUGAGAACAGCAGCAGGCCUCCUAGUCAUAUUAAUAUCCUAACACCACAAGAUGUUGUACCCAUCGAAGUGGCACGGUCUAGAUUCCUGGACAUCAUCAUUGACCAUUUUAUUGGCCAGAAUGUUAUCGAGGUGGGAGAACCCUCUCUCUAUGACUCUAUCCUGGCCAGCAAUAGAAUCAACAAAAGAAAGCAACAAGACGUACAAUACGAAGGCGACCCGAGGUUUGCUUUGCCCUUGAUGUACAUAGCCAACUUGUAUGAGUCCUUGGUGAGCGACGUCAAUGCACGCCUUGCUUCCUUGACUGGAUCCCGUGAGAAAACUAUGGGGGUAGCUCUUGAAGCUGCCGGCGGCCUGUACAGGAAGCUGACCCAAAAGUUUCCCAAGAAAGGAAAUUGUAGCUUCAGGAGGAGGGAGCUGGCUACUUCUAAUGCAACAAAGACAAAGUUUCCUGAACUUGUGGUACAGGAAGAAAAGCGGGUCCGUUUUGUUGUAAUCAAUGGUUUGGUGAUCAUAGAGAGGCCAAAUAAUAUGAGAAUGCAGGAUGCGGAAUGGUUCAAAAGAUUGACCGGUCGAAAUGAAGUGGCCAUUUCAUCAAGAGAUUACAAAUUCUAUUCACCUCGACACAAGUACAGGCGUACCCUGCAGCCAGUAUUUGACAUUCCUAGCACGUCCGUUUUGUCAGAGGAUGAGACUUCUCCAUUGGUUUGUUCUUCAGAAUUUCGUCCACCAUUCGAGAUGCAAAACCAACACGAGUCAUCAUCGAAGCGACACAUUGAACAGAUAGAAAGUCAACCUUACUUGCAAUUUCUCGAUCAAGCAGAGCAUGACAACAUCCAGCAAAACCAACAUAGUUCUCAGUUCCCUCCUAUUCAUCCAUGUGCAUCGUCCUCGCAACUGUCAGAUAACCCCCAGCAGCACCAGUCCUAUCUAUCUCCGCAUCUAUCUUCCAUGCAAGCUGGACACAGCCACCUUGGAGGACGCUCGAAUAUUCUUCCAAACGGCCCUGCAAAGUUCUGCGACGAGUGCGGUUUGCCGUAUUUAAGGGCGGCAUCCAAGUUCUGUUCAGAGUGUGGCACCAAGAGGCUAGGGAUCUGA
rnacentral:rRNA from 1 species